CGCGGCGUCAUCGUCCCGAAUCCAAUAGCCCGUAACUCGGCCCGCGACGUUUCAAUAGCAGUCUUUAAUCGACUCUAAUUAUCGAACAUCUGUCCUUUUCAGAUUGUCAUUCUAACUACCCAUAUAAUAGGGAUAGGAACCGGACGUUUCGAGCAUUCUACUGUACUAAAUGUGAGAGAACCCGAAUAACAUUGUUGUUCUAGAAAUGAAAUCUAAAUUUGUUCACGAAAGCUUAUUUCGUCAUUGAAUCAGGCGCUGUAAGAUAUAACUGCUAUUAUAAAGAUGCGAGAUGCCUCUCGGCACAUUUGGAAAUAAAUUGAUCCUGAAUG